rnacentral:lncRNA from 1 species
AGUUCUGACUGUCAAUCGCGGUGCCAGUGUAGUGUGUACUUGCAUGGAGACGCCAUAGACACUUGACAUUGUGAAAUCAACAACACAAUUACACAAUUCCUUUUUCGAAAAUAAAACACAAGACGAUUACACGUUGGAACCCCCAAUCUCUAAACCCAGAAUAUCAUCUAGAAACCUGAGCAGAGAAGCAUACCGUGUGCAGACCUUGGAGAGGCCGGCUGCCGUGUGAGGUAGAGGGAAGGUGGUAGCGGCCGUGGGAUGUAGAGGGAGGUGACCGAGAGAUGGAAGCUGGCCGCGUCCAAUGGAGAGGGAAGCAGCUUCCGCGGUUGUGAGGAGGCGGCGGUCGGCGGAGGGGGCCGCGAGACCGCAACUCGCGAGAGGAAGACCUGGGGGUGAUUGGAGGGGAAAACCUGGGAGAUGAAGAUGAGGACGUUGCCUGUCCAAUAGGUACCGGUGGCCGGUGGGUGCUAUACUUCUUUAUUGUUUAACUUCGGUAGUCUAUUUGACUUAGGUUGAUCAUUCUUGUUAUUUUUGGGGCGUAAUUGAGGAAAUAUGUAAUUUAAUUUAGUUCUAGUAAGUGUACCAAAAUGCUGUGUAUUUCUAAUUAUUUCUCUACUAUGAUUUUGUGCGUGAAGACCAAAAUGUCUUUCAGUUCCUCCAAGAAAAUAGAGCCUGAUAACCAGGAAGAGCAGGUAGUUAGAUCUGCAUUAGCGUGAAAUCUCUGCAUAUAUUUCUUAUGUCAUAAUAAGAAGAUAUUAGCAAGAAAAUGCAGCUAUUUUUUAAUUAAGAAAUACAAUUAUGUACUUAUUUCUUCCUUCCGUCUAGAGUUUGCUCAGCUCUUGCAUAAUCUUAUCUUCCACACAUUUAGGUCUUGUUUGGAAGCUUAGUAUUUUUGCAGUUUUGAGAUAAUACUAUGUUAUUUAAUGAUACUGUGGUAUUGAAAGCAAGAUAUAUAUUCAAAACAGGAGAACAUGCCCACUAUCAGGUUUAGACAGCAACUGAACAUGCCCACUAUCAGGUUUAGACAGCAUGAACUUAUUCAGUUCAUAUAAACAGAUUACCUAAACAAUAUCACAACAGGAUCAAGAUAUAUAUUCAAAACUGUGCCCACUCAAGACAGCAUGAACUUAUUCAGUUCUAGAAGCACAUAACUCAAGACAGCAUGAACUUAUUCAGUUGAUAAACUAUCAGGUCUAGACACUAGACAGAACAAAAAAAACGUUUCCUUGCCGCAGAGGAAGAUCUAGCAUGAACGAAGUGCCAAGCCUGUCCUCCAGUUCCAAAGAACUGAACCUGCUGCUCUGUCGGCCACCCUUGGAGCAACAACUAGCCCACCAUGGGUUCAAUCAUGUCCUCCAGUUCCAAAGAACUAUCGCGGCGUGAACCUUUGGAACACUAACGGCGCCCGAGACCGGAUCAAGGCUACCAUGGGUUCGGAUAAAUCAAGGCUACCCUUGUAGCAACAACUAGCCCACCCUGCCGUCAGGAAGAUCUAUCGCGGCUACGAUUCACAACCAAUAAUCCUGACGCCGAAGCUAAUCACAGAUUCACAACCACUAAUCCUGAGAGCUUGCUUACAGAGUUACAGGGAAAGGUUACCUUGGCCGGUUGAGCAGGGAAGCCACCGCCGGAGCUACCGGGAGGAGGGACCGAGGGAGCAGGGAGCCCCGGGAGGAGGGAGCAGCCGAGCAGGGAGCCAGGGAGCACCGGGAGGAGGGAGCAGCCGAACAGGGAGCACCGGGAGGAGGAGCAGGGAGCGCCGCGUCGGAGGGAGAGGGACCCCGAGAGGCCGAGACCGAGUCGCCGAGACAGAGAGCCGCGACCGCCGCACGAAGAGGCAGUAGGACGCAGGUGGGAGGGAGAGUGCGUUAGGGUUAGAGUUGCCGCCUUGCCGGACGCGCAUGACUUAUACAUGGAGUUGCGGGCUUGCGGCCAUGCUGCGGCGGAGUUGGGCCGUCCGCGUGCGCAAGGCAGCCUAGGUCCCAGGUCCCAGCUGAAAUUGUUGAACGGGCCGGUUUAAAAGCUCGGCGGAUAACGGGUCGUGCUCGGGCCAACCCAAAUGGCUCAGGGCGUGUUCGGCUGGCUACAAGCCGACACUGUUGCAGCUGUUUGGAUUGCUGCAGCUGCAAUCCAUAGAGAGAAAAAUACUGUAGAAGCCGCAGCCGCAGCCGGAUUGCAGCCGCAGCAAGCCGCAGCGAACAAGCUGUCAAAUUCUUCGUUUCAGUUCUCAUCUUUUGUUUUUUUUCCUGCAUGCAUGCAUGCAUCGCAUCGAUCUUGAUGAAUUGCAGCGAGGAUGGAUCAUGAAGCCAGCGGGCUACGACCCCUGCACGGCGGAGUACUCGGAGGUCUACUUCAAUCGACCCGACGUCCAGGCGGCGCUGCACGCGAACGUGACAAAGAUCGGCUACAACUGGACACGCUGCAGGUGCGUCGUGCCUCUCUCUCUUUCUCUCUCUUCUCUCAUUACUCUUCAGGUUUUAGGAGCACCGAAACUGAAAAGCUCGAAUCGAACUGUGUUGCUGUUCGCGCAUGGAGCGAUGCGAUCUACACUUGGAACGACGCCGCCUUCUCCACCCUCCCCGUCAUCCGCAAGCUGGUCGCCGGCGGCCUCAGGUUGUGGGUGUUCAGCGGCGACACCGACGGAAGGAUCCCCGUGACGUCGACGAGGCUCACCCUCCACAAGCUCGGGCUCAAGACCGUCCAGGAGUGGACGCCGUGGUACGACCAUCUGCAGGUAACUUAACCUGACUUUUGUUUUUUUCAGGAGCAGCUGCAUCGACUGACUCUAACGUCUUCCUCCGCCGAAAAAAAAACAGGUUGGUGGAUGGACGAUCGUGUACGAGGGCCUGACAUUCGUCACGAUCCGCGGCGCUGGGCAUGAGGUGCCUUUGCACGCGCCGCGGCAGGCGCUGACGCUCUUCAGCAACUUCCUGGCAGGCACCAAGAUGCCCCCAACGGCGUUCCCCUAACUGCUGUCUCCCCCUCUUCUCUCUCUCUCUCUCUCGCUUCUACCAAAGAUGCAUGUGUAAUUCGAUCGGAAAAAAAGGAAAAGGUUCAGGAAUAAAAGUCAGUCAGGUUUUAAUAGAGAAGAUUCAUAAUGCUCAAAAUCACAACGUACUGUGCUGUCUCUUGAAUGUGUCCUCCAAGACUGUCGCAGUAGCUGACAGCAUAUGAAACAUUAAACAAGACACCUCCGUAGUGUUGCGCAGCAGAAACUGACGGAAAUACUGAGCAACUAAAUAAAUAGAUCAGAAGUAACAACUGUUGAAUUCCAGGAUUUAUUACAUCACAGACCAAGCAUCGGGAAUCCGGGAUACAGAAUACAGAAUACACACACAUGAAUGGUUAGGACUUAUUAGGAAACAAGAACCACCAAGUUCACAGACAGACAGCACACAGCAAACCUGACAACAUAUGGACUGACAUAGGCUCUUGGCUUGGCACAUGUUCUACAUCUAACCUUUCUUUGGCAUGGCAGCCAGCCUUGUAUACAUGCGGGCCAUUGAUUGAUAGCCUCUGAUGUCACCCGACCGCAGGAGAUUGCCUAUGAUUGAGCAAAAAGAUAGCCAGAAAGUGAGACAGAUUCAGACUACUUGAUAGGCUUAUCUCGGGCAGCACAUGAUUAAUCAGAAAGGUAUAACUGCACAUUUAGAGGAUCCUAGCUCAUGGUAGCAAAAAGUCCAUUGAUGAUAUCAUAUUAAGAGAGAAAAUAUAUACAUAAAUUUAAAAAGCCAGUGAGAUGACGGUGGUAUCUUUGCUUUAAGGGCAACAAAUCACACAGUAAACCAUAAAGAUAACAAACAUAUCAAUUGAAUGGAAAAUGAGAAAGACCAGCGUCGCUUAUUUUGGUAGGGGCCAUAUUGUAACGAUGUAGAUUAAUUAGAUGGACAGAUCAGGCACAGUGGUGAUAAGCCUUUCCACUGAGCCAAAGGUCCUGGGUUUGACACAGCCUCUCUGCAAAAAUGCGGGAGUAAAGCUUGCCUCGGUUGUUCCUUCUCCAGACUCCACUCAUGUGGGAGACGCUAACACUGGGUUUGUCUGUAGUGUAAUUAGAUCUAGAAGUUACAACAGCUAGUUGAAUUACAAAAUAGUGAUGCAACUGCUCCUUCAAAUCUAGCUGUGCUGUAGCACAACAGUUCUGCUACUACAUUUGAUAACUCGGAAUGACUUUUUUCUUCUUCUUUUGGCUACCACCUUAAGAGUAAAGAGUGGUUCCCAUGCUGCGAUGUCACUCCUGACUCCUGAGUCCUGAUACUUGAGAUGUAUUCUCAGGUCUCCAUUACAGCAAUAGCUUAAUAUUUCUUAUAUGUCCUAAAGUACAUAUGUUAAAGUCCACAACAUUAAGAUUAAUAUUAUAUCAACUCAGUCUAAUUCAUAAAGAUAGAAAAGUAGUAGAACGUCGUAGUUUUUCGUGUACUGUAGUUUGAUAUAGAGUGAGAAGAGGUACCUGAAUCACAGUUAAGUGGGCUGUCUGGUUCAGGAUGGGCCAUCAGAGCAAUUAUCGCUCUACAAACAGACUGAAGGGUCCAUGCAGGGCUCCAUGCAUUCUUCAAUAUAUCAAGACAAAUUUCACCUGUCUAAAAACAGGAAAAAAGGAAACAAAUGUAACUAAACAGAAAUUUCCACUUCCCCUUGAUUCAGAUUUAAUAAAUGACAAAACAGGGCAUUGCAGUCUCAUAUAACCUUGAAAUGCACAUUUGGGUGGAAAAUUUUGGUUAAAAAUCGAACUUGAGGAGGCAGUAGAGGAUACUGCUCUGGAAUUGCGAACGCAAGUUGAAACACACCACCUUCAUAAGGUGUUUCAGAAGGGCCCUAACCACAUAAAUAUAGAUAAUUAGAAGAGGCAAUAGUAAACGUACGAUCUUUCCUGUUACGGCAAUAAAAAAUAACCUUGAUAAGAGCAGUCCACUUGAAUAUGUUGGAAUCAUCACAUAUUAACUGGAUAUCAGGGUCAGCUGACUUCUCUCGUUGUACCUCCUUGUACUCCUUGAAAAGCCUUGCCCUAGAUGCCUAGAGAUAAAAAAAAAUAUUGCCAAAAAGCUUUAGGUUUCAUGUUAAGAACCCUUGCGGCACAAAAUAUCCGAUGGGUGUGGUGCAGGAUUUGAUGUAGCAUGUAGAAAUUUCCUGGUUACUAUAAACUAUAUUGCAAGUAAUUAACACUUUAACAGGUUCAUUUCAUUCAUCAUUAUUAUACUUAUGACAUACUUGAACCAAUAUGGCAAUACACAAUAAACUUGUGGUAACAACAAAAAAAUCACAUUGCUCCCUAUAAAAUGCAGAUUUCUAGCUAUUAGAUCUCGCAUAUUGGUAUAAUGGAUGCAUCAAGUAGCAUAAGGAAACAUGAUCAUUCAAAUUUUAUGGGAUGGCUGGCAUAUUGCACGGAUAUGCAAUCAAUGUGCCAAUGAAGCAAUGAUGCACUCACCUGCAUCUUCUCCUUUCUCUACUAGAGUUAUGACCACAGUGCUGAUAUAGGCAAAUGCGUCGCUGAAUGCUGGCAAAAUAAGAAAUAAGACUAAGUUCGAAAGAUACAGUGAAACUCUAUAGUGAAAAUGAACCAUGAUGGGCUUAUCACGGGUAGGGAUGUCAACGGGGCUGCUCCCCGUCGGGGACUGCUCCCCGUACCCGUACCCACCAAAAUAAAAAUUCCCUGUUCCCCGUCCCCGUCCCCGUCGGGUAUACGGGGAUCCGAUGGGGAAAAAUCCCCGCCAACAGCCCAGUUAAAAAUCAUGUCCAGCACAAUAAAUCAGUAGCAUAUUACAUUUGCAAAUAUAUAAACAACACAAAUCAUAGCAGCUAUUGCAACUAUGGCAUGGUACAUCACAAGUCACUAAUACAAUAAUAAGAAGUAAUAACCCUAUUAUAUAGUACAGCCACAAUGCCACAUAGCAGUACCAGACUACUAGCUAUUACACACAUGAAUGAAGCCGAGCAGCCGAGCAGCACGUGACCCCCUAAAUUUUGGUAAACAAGCUGCACCAACACCUUGAUUAGAUAACAAGAAAGCAAGAACUCGUACACUGUCAACUCAUGUCGACCUUGCCCGUUUUCAAGAACAAAAAUCUAGACAGGCCACGGAUCGAUGUAUUGGAUUAGCAGGGCAUCCGUCAGCACACAAAUCUACAACUAACUGAACGAAUCAGAAGAAGGAUUUUAGGGUUCGAUUGCCAACAAAGCCCUUCGGACUAGGGAAUCCAAGCAAGCUCGUGUAUGAUUGCUUACACGUUGGAACCCCCAAUCUCUAAACCCAGAAUAUCAUCUAGAAACCUGAGCAGAGAAGCAUACCGUGUGCAGACCUUGGAGAGGCCGGCGGCCGUGUGAGGUAGAGGAAAGGUGGUAGCGGCCGUGGGAUGUAGAGGGAGGUGACCGAGAGAUGGAAGCUGGCCGCGUCCAAUGGAGAGGGAAGCAGCUUCCGCGGUUGUGAGGAGGCGGCGGUCGGCGGAGGGGGGCGCGAGACCGCAACUCGCGAGAGGAAGACCUGGGGGUGAUUGGAGGGGAAAACCUGGG